rnacentral:rRNA from 1 species
UUAAACAGUGCGUGAAAUUGUUGAAAGGGAAACGCUUGACACCAGUCAUGCGAGCGGAAAAUCAGUCUUUUGCAGUGGGGAGUUGUGUGGGUUCGGACCGCAAGGCCGGCCUGCGCUGCAUCUCUGCUGUAAGUGAUGCACUUUUUCGUUUGCAGGCCAACAUCAGUUUCUUCUGCUGGACAAAACUCUUGAGAAGGUGGCAGCUUAGGCUGUGUUAUAGCUCUUGAGCGAUACAGUGGAGGGGACUGAGGUUUUCGCAGCGCGUGCUCUCGGGCAAGGCUGAUUGGGUGCUAUGGGAUCGUUCGGUGUACAAUGCAUGCAUUUUGCGCCGUGUCUUUUCUAUACUCGCUCAACUCGGGC